UUUCUUCUUUUUUUGGUAUGGUUCCAGGAAAAAAAACAUCCUAGUUUGAUGGCAAACAUAUAUUUAUUUGAAACGAAAAUACCGGGAAACAAAUACUAUGAUGACCCCUUUUUUCGGAUUUCCAGAUAUUGUAUACAUUUCAUUUUGGCUGUCAAAUCUAUCACAAAUACCACCACCACCACCACCACCACCACCAUCAUCAUCAAUGGAACAUGUUGCAAUCGGUGUGACGAUAAAUGAUUUGUAGUAUGAAUCAUCAUCAUCAGACAAAACAAAAUAGCCCUAGUACAUAUAUAUCGAGUAAAGAUGAUCAAAAAAAAAAAAAAAAAAAAAAAAAAACAGACAUUUCAGAUAGUUCCAGUGAAUAGAACAAAAAUAAAAACAAGCAAGAAAAAAAAAGACAGACACACCAGACAAUUGACCCAAUAAGUCAAGUUGAAUGAAUCAAGAAUGAAACAAAAACAAAAAUAUUUGUCCAAGACAUUUAUAACAUGGUGUAUUGUUCUUGCCUGAACAGAACAUUCCAUUAUCAUUAACUCAUUGUGUCAUCAUAAUGAUGAUGAUGAUGAUGAUGAUGAUCAUCCACUAUAGUCAUAAUUAAAUAAUUGUUUCAAUUUGUCAGAA